AUUGAACGCUGGCGGCAGGCCUAACACAUGCAAGUCGAGCGAGUGGCGGACGGGUGAGUAAUGUCUGGGAAACUGCCUGAUGGAGGGGGAUAACUACUGGAACCGGUAGCUAAUACCGCAUACCAUCAGAUGUGCCCAGAUGGGAUUAGCUCGUUGGUGGGGUAACGGCUCACCUAGGCGACGAUCCCUAGCUGGUCUGAGAGGAUGACCAGCCACACUGGAACUGAGACACUGUCCAGACUCAUACGGGAGUCAGCAGUGUGGAAUAUGGCACAAUGGGCGCGAGCCUGAUGCAGCCAUGCCGCGUGUAUGAAGAAGGCCUUCGGGUUGUAAAGUACUUUCAGCGGGGAGGCGUUACUCGCAGAAGAAGCACCGGCUAACUCCGUGCCAGCAGCCGCGGUAAUUC
rnacentral:rRNA from 1 species